rnacentral:rRNA from 1 species
UACGAAGGGGGCUAGCGUUGUUCGGAUUUACUGGGCGUAAAGCGCGUGUAGGCGGGUCGUUAAGUUGGGGGUGAAAUCCCGGAGCUCAACUCCGGAACUGCCCUCAAAACUGGCGACCUGGACCCAAGUAGAGGCAAGUGGAAUUGCGAGUGUAGAGGUGAAAUUCGUAGAUAUUCGCAGGAACACCAGUGGCGAAGGCGACUUGCUGGACUUGUGGUGACGCUGAGACGCGAAAGCGUGGGGAGCAAACAGG